UACGUAGGGUGCAAGCGUUUAAUCGGAAUUACUGGGCGUAAAGAGCGCGUAGGCGGCACGGUACGACCGGUGUGAAAGCCCCCGGCUCAACUGGGGAGGGUCACCGGUAACGGCCGAGCUACGAGUGCAGGAGAGGGAAGUGGAACUCCGGGAGUAGCGGUGAAAUGCGUAGAGACCCGGAGGAACACCAGUGGCGAAGGCGGCUUCCUGGUCUGCAACUGACGCUGUGGCGCGAAAGCUAGGGGAGCAAACGGG
rnacentral:rRNA from 1 species